ACGCUGGCGGCGUGCCUAAUACAUGCAAGUAGAACGCUGAAAGAGGAGCUUGCUUCUCUGGAUGAGUUGCGAACGGGUGAGUAACGCGUAGGUAACCUGCCUGGUAGCGGGGGAUAACUAUUGGAAACGAUAGCUAAUACCGCAUAAGAGUAGAUGUUGCAUGACAUUUGCUUAAAAGGUGCAAUUGCAUCACUACCAGAUGGACCUGCGUUGUAUUAGCUAGUUGGUGGGGUAACGGCUCACCAAGGCGACGAUACAUAGCCGACCUGAGAGGGUGAUCGGCCACACUGGGACUGAGACACGGCCCAGACUCCUACGGGAGGCAGCAGUAGGGAAUCUUCGGCAAUGGACGGAAGUCUGACCGAGCAACGCCGCGUGAGUGAAGAAGGUUUUCGGAUCGUAAAGCUCUGUUGUAAGAGAAGAACGAGUGUGAGAGUGGAAAGUUCACACUGUGACGGUAUCUUACCAGAAAGGGACGGCUAACUACGUGCCAGCAGCCGCGGUAAUACGUAGGUCCCGAGCGUUGUCCGGAUUUAUUGGGCGUAAAGCGAGCGCAGGCGGUUAGAUAAGUCUGAAGUUAAAGGCUGUGGCUUAACCAUAGUACGCUUUGGAAACUGUUUAACUUGAGUGCAAGAGGGGAGAGUGGAAUUCCAUGUGUAGCGGUGAAAUGCGUAGAUAUAUGGAGGAACACCGGUGGCGAAAGCGGCUCUCUGGCUUGUAACUGACGCUGAGGCUCGAAAGCGUGGGGAGCAAACAAGAUUAGAUACCCUGGUAGUCCACGCCGUAAACGAUGAGUGCUAGGUGUUAGACCCUUUUCCGGGGUUUAGUGCCGCAGCUAACGCAUUAAGCACUCCGCCUGGGGAGUACGACCGCAAGGUUGAAACUCAAAGGAAUUGACGGGGGCCCGCAC
rnacentral:rRNA from 1 species